rnacentral:siRNA from 1 species
UGGAGAGCUCGAGUUGUUUCCU